CCAAAGGCUCUUUUCAGAGCCACUCAUACAGUCCAAAAAGAAGCUG
rfam:Cricetulus griseus cell line CHO-K1, whole genome shotgun sequence.